AGGAAUGUUUUGUCACAGCUGAAUACCACGGUGAAGCUUGGGUUUGAGUGAGGACGACCUUGCGCUCAGCAUGCGUGUGAGCGUGCACUGCACGCAUGAAGCGCAAGGAAGUUCCUUGCGAGCAGAGUUUCCACUGUGGCAUUCACUUGCGAGAAAGCUCCCCU